CAACCUCUGGCGAGAAUCGUGAACGUUG
rfam:Nonlabens spongiae strain JCM 13191, complete genome.